GACGAACGCUGGCGGCGUGCUUAACACAUGCAAGUCGAACGGAAAGGCCCUGCUUUUGUGGGGUGCUCGAGUGGCGAACGGGUGAGUAACACGUGAGUAACCUGCCCUUGACUUUGGGAUAACUUCAGGAAACUGGGGCUAAUACCGGAUAGGAGCUCCUGCUGCAUGGUGGGGGUUGGAAAGUUUCGGCGGUUGGGGAUGGACUCGCGGCUUAUCAGCUUGUUGGUGGGGUAGUGGCUUACCAAGGCUUUGACGGGUAGCCGGCCUGAGAGGGUGACCGGCCACAGUGGGACUGGGAUACGGCCCAGACUCCUACGGGAGGCAGCAGUGGGGAAUAGUGCACAAUGGGCGGAAGCCUGAUGCAGCAACGCCGCGUGCGGGAUGACGGCCUUCGGGUUGUAAGCCGCUUUCGCCUGUGACGAAGCGUGAGUGACGGUAAUGGGUAAAGAAGCACCGGCUAACUACGU
rnacentral:rRNA from 1 species